CCCCGUAAUUUUAUACAUUGUUUAUAUUUUUUACGUAUAUUUAAUAUAUUUAAGUACAAUUUGCGGAUUUUAGAAAUGAAUAUGUAAUUAAAAUAUAAUUAUUUUAUCUCAUUUUGAAUACUUUAAUGACUUACGAAAUCAAAAUGUAUUUUCGAAUUUUACGUUAAAACGAAUUCGAAUUACGAAAAUCGAUUAAAUUUAGAAAACGAUCCUAUCCGAUUUUGGAUUCGAAUCCUAAAACUAAAUUCCUAAGUCUAGCCCAAUUGAAUAAAGCCCAAUAUUAUAAACCCAUAACCCCAUACUUCUACUCCAUGUAAAACACAAAACACAAAACACCAAACCCCUCUAUUCCUACUUCACGUAAAAACCAAAAAGGGCAAAACCCAUCUCUCUCCUUUCCUGCUUCCUCUUCCUCCCUCUGCCCAGCCGCCGACCACCACGAGCACGCCACCAAGGCCGCCAGACCACCUCGCCGCCACGUCGCUGACCACCAGCUCUCACCACCACCUUGCUCGCGCAGCCCCCGCGUCGCCACCCAGCCUGCGCCGCCGCUGCCUUGUCCCUGCUCGCCGCCACCGCAAGUAGCACCACCGUGUGCCGCCGUCUCUCAGCCCUGCCGCAAGCCACCUCUGUCCGCCAGCCAACUCUCUCUCCUCCUUCUUGAAUUGGCGGAGAAUUCUCUUUAGGCGACUUUUGAAAGUGUUAAAGUGGCCUAUCAGUUUGUUUACACGAGGUACGUACAUACCUGUGUGCUUGGAAUGUGUGCUAAUUGUUGAAACCAUGUUGAAUCUUGUUGUUGAACUUGGUUAUGUUGAUAUUAUGGACGAACUGGGUUAUAUUGAAUGUGCAUGUUUAAUACUGUUGGACAAACUUAUUGAACUUAUUUUGCACUAUGAGAACUGUAACAUGUUAGUAUGGAUGAUUGAUACAAACAUGUUGGUUGGGAACACUAGAUUAUUCUAUAUGAUUGGUUUGGAUCGAUUGGUUGUUGUUCCCUUUCUAUCUUUUCACUACUUUAUGAGGGCGGAGGACCUUGUUUAGUAAGUUGAAACUUUAUGCCCAUAUACAGGGUUGCUCAUGGUUAAAGGAAAGGUUGGAUAAAUUGGAAUGAGUCUUGAUUGAUGCUUUUAUGAUCACUUACUUAAUUCCAAGAUAAAAACAGUUGUGAACAAAUGUGAAUUGUAUGUCUUAUGUAAUGGUUGAGUCAUAACGGAAUCUCAAUUUGUAAAUCAUGUAAAGUGAAACCGAAUAGCAAUAGCUUUAGACUGUGCACGUCUGAAGUGACGGACAAACAGGAGUUGGGGUUCAUGGUGGUAGCCCAUGGCCUUUUCUGGGACCGGAUUGAUCACCGUGUUCUAUUUUUAUUCAAACGUUCCUCGAUAUCGCAGGUCACUGAGGUUACGGAGUCGCGCCCGUACCUCGUCUUCCUUGGGGAAGACUUUUGGUUGGACAACUCGGUCCAUUGUCUAUUUCAACUAAAAUAAUAUCAUUGUCAUUAAGUCUAGCUUAGCCUAGUCGAGUAUGGUCGUCAAAUUAUUAUGUUUUGUCUGUCCUUACUUAUAUUUAUUAGUAUCAUGUUAGGGUUGUUGGUUUGAUAGUAUCAUGCUAGGAUUGUUGUUGUUUUAGUACGUACAUACCUGUGUGCUUGGAAUGUGUGCUAAUUGUUGAAACCAUGUUGAAUCUUGUUGUUGAACUUGGUUAUGUUGAUAUUAUGGACGAACUGGGUUAUAUUGAAUGUGCAUGUUUAAUACUGUUGGACAAACUUAUUGAACUUAUUUUGCACUAUGAGAACUGUAACAUGUUAGUAUGGAUGAUUGAUACAAACAUGUUGGUUGGGAACACUAGAUUAUUCUAUAUGAUUGGUUUGGAUCGAUUGGUUGUUGUUCCCUUUCUAUCUUUUCACUACUUUAUGAGGGCGGAGGACCUUGUUUAGUAAGUUGAAACUUUAUGCCCAUAUACAGGGUUGCUCAUGGUUAAAGGAAAGGUUGGAUAAAUUGGAAUGAGUCUUGAUUGAUGCUUUUAUGAUCACUUACUUAAUUCCAAGAUAAAAACAGUUGUGAACAAAUGUGAAUUGUAUGUCUUAUGUAAUGGUUGAGUCAUAACGGAAUCUCAAUUUGUAAAUCAUGUAAAGUGAAACCGAAUAGCAAUAGCUUUAGACUGUGCACGUCUGAAGUGACGGACAAACAGGAGUUGGGGUUCAUGGUGGUAGCCCAUGGCCUUUUCUGGGACCGGAUUGAUCACCGUGUUCUAUUUUUAUUCAAACGUUCCUCGAUAUCGCAGGUCACUGAGGUUACGGAGUCGCGCCCGUACCUCGUCUUCCUUGGGGAAGACUUUUGGUUGGACAACUCGGUCCAUUGUCUAUUUCAACUAAAAUAAUAUCAUUGUCAUUAAGUCUAGCUUAGCCUAGUCGAGUAUGGUCGUCAAAUUAUUAUGUUUUGUCUGUCCUUACUUAUAUUUAUUAGUAUCAUGUUAGGGUUGUUGGUUUGAUAGUAUCAUGCUAGGAUUGUUGUUGUUUUAGUAUGUAGUACUCAGCUUUGCUGAUUACGUGCUUUGUU